UACGUAGGGCGCAAGCGUUUGUCCGGAAUUAUUGGGCGUAAAGAGCUCGUAGGCGGUUUGUCGCGUCUGCUGUGAAAACCUAAGGCUCAACCUUGGGCUUGCAGUGGGUACGGGCAGACUAGAGUGCGGUAGGGGUGACUGGAAUUCCUGGUGUAGCGGUGGAAUGCGCAGAUAUCAGGAGGAACACCGAUGGCGAAGGCAGGUCACUGGGCCGCAACUGACGCCGAGGAGCGAAAGCAUGGGGAGCCGAACAGG
rnacentral:rRNA from 1 species